GUGUGUGUGUGUGUGUGUGUGUGUGUGUGUGUGUGUGUGUGUAAAAGAGAGAGAGAGAGAGAGAGAGAAAACCAUGCAGAGCCAUCCUGCAGAGCAUCCUCUGCUUCGUUGGCUUCACCAGCUUUUGCCCUAACACGCACAGGGAUCUAACAGCAAACCAGUUAGCUGAAGCUUCCCCUGUAGUCUCCUCCUAGAAGUAGUCAUUGGCACUCUGCCUCCUGUUGCUGUGGCAGGUUCUCCCCGUGUGUGUGGGAACUUCUUAGAGGGUUCUUUGGACACAGUGAACAUUUAGUAGUGACUUCUUUGACCAUUAUUGCUUAGAAGUAGGAAGAAAAGCCUUCUGGCAAUCUUGGUUAUUAAGAUUUCUGGUGGUGUGGGAUGCAUGAAUGAAGUGGAAUAUGUACUUUGGGUAAGUUAAAUGGGACAGCCUUCCAUGUUCAUCUGUCUACCUCUUAACUGAAUAAAAAAAGCCUACAAUUUUUAGAAAA